rnacentral:rRNA from 1 species
AAGCGGUGGAGGAUGUGGCUUAAUUCGAGGCUACGCGAAGAACCUUAUCCUAGUCUUGACAUGCACGGAUUAACUCGCCGAAAGGCGAGCCACGCCCGCAAGGGUGGAACGUGCACAGGUGCUGCAUGGCUGUCGUCAGCUCGUGUCGUGAGAUGUCGGGUUAAGUCCCUUAACGAGCGAAACCCUUGUCUCUAGUUGCCAGCGAGUCAUGUCGGGGACUCUAGAGAGACCGCCGGUGUUAAACCGGAGGAAGGUGGGGAUG